GAGUGUGUCUGAGUUUCCUGCAACAUCAGGAGAGGGAGAGACAGACAUCAUGAUUCCUACCAAGAUGCUACUGCUCUUGCUGUCAAUGGCUUUGCUGGCCUUGGGCUCUGCUCAGGGCAUCGAUGAAGAGGAAGAUGAGACACUCCAAUUAGUAGAUGAUGAAUUGUUGAAAGAAAACCCAGAGGAAUCACAAGUGAAACCUGAAGAAGGAUAUGGAGCGGAGUACAGCAAACCUGGCAAAGAUGGUCCAGGUGGCGCUCAGGGACCAGCAGGCCAACAAGUUCAAGGUAGUCAACAGCAUCCAGGAGCCCAAGGUGGUCCAAGAGGCCCACAGCAUCCAGCAGGCCAACAAGGCCCAGGUGGCCAGCAGCGUCCAGGACCCCAAGGUGAUCCAAGUGGUCCACAGCAUCCAGCAGGCCAACAAGGUCCAGAUGGCCAACAGCGUCCAGGAGCCCAAGGUGGUCCAAGUGGUCCACAGCAUGCACCAGGCCAACAGGUACCAGGUGGCCAACAGCAUCCAGGAUCCCAAGGUGAUCCAAGUGGCCCACAGGGUCCAGCAGGCCAACAGGGGCCAAAUGACAAACAGCAUCCAGGAGUCCAAGGUGGUCCAGGUGGCCCACAGCAUCCAGCAGGCCAACAAGGUCCAGAUGGGCAACAGCGUCCAGGAGCCCAAGGUGGUCCAAGUGGCCCACAGCAUCCAGCAGGCCAACAGGGGCCAGGUGGCCAACAUCGUCCAGGAUCCCAAGGUGGUCCAAGUGGCCCACAGGGUCCAGCAGGCCAACAAGGUCCAGGUGGCCAACAGCAUCCAGGAUCUCAAGGUGGUCCAAGUGGCCCACAGGGUCCAGCAGGCCAACAGGGCCCAGGUGGCCAACAGCGUCCAGGAUCCCAAGGUGGUCCAAGUGGCCCACAGGGUCCAGGAGGCCAACAGCGUCCAGGAUCCCAAGGUGGUCCAAGUGGCCCACAGGGCCCAAGUAGCCAACAGGGUGCAGGUGGCCAGCAUGGUGGACAGUGACAAGAAAAACCAAGUAAAGAGGACCUCCUGUGAUUUUCUAGAAAUUGAGAGCUCAACUGGUGACCAUGGACUUUUCAGUCGUGUCAUCAUGGCCUUUCCUUUCUCUGACUUCAAUUCAUCAAUAAAGUCAUCAGCAUUAAAGUCCUGGCUCUUGUUUUCCUUCUAAGUCAUGGUUCUUGGUUAGAGGACAAGAAGGGCAGGUUGGAAGAUACAGCCCUGAAAGACUCCUAAUGUUGUGUAUUGUGCAGAUUUAUCUAGCUCUGAUUUUAAUAAUUUUGUGGGGACUUCACUCCCACCAAUAUUACAAAGCAGAAACAUUUUAUCCUUGAGACCAGUAAGGGAGUUUGUCAUGUUCAGAUGAGCAAUGUACACAUCCUUUUCUUAGCUUAGACACAGAGAGAAUUACCUCAUGAACUCCUUUGACUUCUGGUAGUCCUUCAAUGUAUGUAAGUUCUAUUAUGAGGUGAGGGUGUGUAGAAAGGAAACACUGUGCAGUGUUUGUGGGAAUGCACACUGGCACAGCCACUAUAAAAAACAGCAUGGUGAUUCUUCAAAGAGUUACAAAUACAACUACAAUGCAAUACAGCACUUGCCUUUCGGGUAUUUAUUGAAAGAAAGUGAAAACACUAUUUUGCAAAUAUAUGCACCCCUAAUGUUAACUGCAUCAUUAUUUAUGAGAGUCCAGCUGUGGAAGCAGCCCUCAUGGCCCUGAAUAGAGGAAUGGGUAAAGAUGUGGUACGCAUACACAAUGGAAUAUUACUCACUCUAAGGAAGAAGGAAAUCCUGCCAUUUGCCACAAUACAAAUGGAUCUAGAGAGUGUAAUGGUCACUGAAAGAAGUCAACCAGAGACAGAUAAAUACCAUAUGAUUUCAUGCAUACAUGAAAUCCAAAAGACAAAACGAAUGAGCCAACAAAACAAAACAGAACUAAUUAUCCUUUGCCUACCAGAAGGCAGGGGAUGGAAGGAUGGUCAAAUAGGAGUGAAAAGCAGAUGUAAGGUGCAAGAAUACAUUUAUAACAUAAAUAAGAUACAGGGAGAAAAGAUAUACAUAAGGAACACAGGACAGCAGUUAAGAAUAUGCAACCAUUUUGUUUGUUGUGCAUGGUAACUCAAUUUUUCUUGGUGAACCUUCACAAUGUAUAGAAAUGCUGAAUCACUAUCUUGUACACUGAAAACUAAUGUAAUAAUGUAGGUCAAGUAUGCUUCCAUCCGGGACCCUAAGAUCAUGACCUGACCCAAAGGCAGACACUUAGCCAACUGAACCACAAAAGCACUCCUAUAAAACUUAUUUUUAAUCCUCCUUUGAAUAAACACUUAACACCAAAAUAAAAUAUGUCCUUCCAAUUUUCAAAAAUUAGCUUCUCCCUCCAUAACUAAACAGGGUUUGUCAUUUAUUAAAUGAGAAAUCAAAAUACCCUUUUAUAAAAAGGCAAAGAACAUUUAUAAUGAUAUUCAAUAAUCCAAAAUUUUCUACUUAAAAGUCUCUUCCUCCUGCCAGAAACCCAAAGUAAUGCCAUUCAUAAGGGGCUGGGAGACCAUUUACUAUGCAAGAAAACUAUGUGCCUGCACACUUUGAGACCCAACCACAAUAUUCUCUCACUUUCUCUCCUUUAUCCACAUCAAACUCUACAGUUACUUCAAUUCCUACACUGUGCAGAUAUUUCCGUGAAUUAUUCUUUUUGUUGGCAGUCUGUCAACAGAACAGAAAGUUGUAAAUGAAGCAACAUUAAUACUGGCCACAGAUUUCAUCUUUCACGUUUAUUGCCUGUAUUAUUACUUUUUUUACAUUAUCAUUACCCACUAACCUGGAUCUCCAAAACAAUAACGAAAGUAAUAAAUACACUGUAAAUCUCUGUUUCAUUCUUUUCUUGAUUCAUGCUACCUUUGGUAAUUCUCCUUCAUAGAUGGAUUAAAUAGAAUGUUUAGUUACUACAUACUGUUGUUACAGCUUGAUGAUGGUAUUGGAUACUAUUAGUUCCCUCAAAAUAUUCAGCACCUAACAUUCUGACUGUACGCCUAUCACUAGAGGUCUGGGGGGGGGGGGUCUUGAUGAAAUCUUGGAAAACACAAAAAUACACAUUUCAGGUAAAGAGGUUUCUACAGACAAGGGAAACUGUGAGCCUGAUAAGGAAUUAUAAAGUAUGUGAAAGAGGAGGGAUAUUGAAGAAUGGAAAAUAGCAAUUUAAAAAUGCCAGUGGGAUAAAGUAUUUCUGAUGGGAAUACACAAGAUUACCUCGGGAAUGAACCACUACUGAUAAUCAUAAUGUGGCCUCUUCCCUCAUGCCCUCCAUCUUAAGGAUAAGUUAAUACGAGGCUGGUAAGUGAUUUACCUGAACACCUAAAGGUACAGCUUGAUCCAGGAGGAGUGCAUAGGGGAAAUUCAUAUCCCUGCACUGUAUGUAUGAUUAUUUCUGCAAUAGUUGCCCCAUCAUACCACUCUCACCUACUCAACCCUACACAUUCCGUGAUGAUGCAUUAAAUGGUUGAGGCAGUUAUUACACUGCAUAAGACACCUAUACCUGAAGAUCUUCCUUCUCAGUCAGUGGAAGGCACAGAAGAGUUUCUGCAAUGAAUUUCUGUUUCUUUCCUUUGUCUCUGUAAACAGUAAAAGGGGCUCAGAUUUUCUGUGAAAACUGGUCAACUUUAUUUUCUAAAGCAAUUAGGCAUAUGAGAAAGAAAAGCUGUGAAUAAUUCCAGACUAAAAAAAGCUAAAGAAACAUGGCAAUCCAAUAUAGUACUUGAAUGGGGGGAUCCCUGGGUGGCGCAGCGGUUUGGCGCCUGCCUUUGGCCCAGGGCGCGAUCCUGGAGACCCGGGAUCGAAUCCCACAUCGGGCUCCCGGUGCAUGGAGCCUGCUUCUCCCUCUGCCUGUGUCUCUGCACCUCUCUCUCUCUCUGUGACUAUCAUAAAUAAAUAAAAAUUUAAAAAAAAAAUUUGAAUGGGUCUGUGUUCUGGAGGAGAAAAAAAAAAUGUUCCCAAAUCAUGGUUGGAUUAAUUAGCAAUUUGGGAAUACAGCCUGUAGAUUACAUGAAAGUAUUAUAUCAAUGUUAAAUAGAUCAAGGUUUUACACGACUCUUGUUUCAUAAGAAAUUAUUACCACUCUUAGGGAAUACACACUGAAAAGUUAGGGCUGAAAGGACACAAUUUAUGUAAUUUACCCUCAAAUCAUCAGACAGAAGGAGAGAACAAUACAGCAAAGAGGCAAAUAUUAAUAGAUGAAUCUGGAUAGAAGACAUGUGGAUUCUUC
rnacentral:lncRNA from 1 species